rnacentral:rRNA from 1 species
GCCGCGUGCGCGAUGAAGGCCUUCGGGUUGUAAAGCGCUUUUAGAGGAGAUGAGAAAGGACAGUAUCCUCUGAAUAAGCCUCGGCGAACUACGUGCCAGCAGCCGCGGUAAAACGUAGGAGGCAAGCGUUAUCCGGAUUUAUUGGGCGUAAAGCGUGUGCAGGCGGUUUGGUAAGUUGGAUGUGAAAGCUCCUGGCUUAACUGGGAGACGUCGUUCAGAACUGCCAGACUAGAGAAUGGGAGAGGGAGGUGGAAUUCUGGGUGUAGUGGUGAAAUGCGUAGAUAUCCAGAGGAACACCAGUGGCGAAAGCGGCCUCCUAGACCAUGUCUGACGCUAAGACACGAAAGCUAGGGUAGCAAACGGGAUUAGAGACCCCGGUAGUCCUAGCUGUAAACGAUGUAGACUUGGCGUUGGCGGAGUUAAAUCUGCCAGUGCCGGAGCUAACGCGUGAAGUCUACCGCCUGGGGACUACGAUCGCAAGAUUAAAACUCAAAGGAAUU